rnacentral:sRNA from 12 species
CCCGCGCCUAGCUCGACGGAGCGAAAACCGGAAACCUUUCACCGGCUGGCGUGGAUUUUAUGAGAGG